GAUGAUCAACGCAAAAUGCAUUGGGUUGCUUGGUGGAAGAUGUGCGUCCUGAAAGAAAAGGGUGGAAUGGGAUUUAGAGAUAUCCACGCUUUCAAUCUUGCACUAUUAGCAAAGCAAUGCUGGAGGUUAAUUGAGAAACAUGACUCGUUAUGUGCAAGAGUGCUGCGUGCAAGAUACUAUCCUACGGGCGAUAUCCUUAAUUGCACGUUAAAGAAGGGUUCUUCCUUUGUUUGGCAGAGUAUAUUUGCAGGCAUACAAACCUUCAAAACAGGAAGCAUCUAG
rnacentral:rRNA from 1 species